rnacentral:miRNA from 1 species
UUGUAGUUCAGCGCCUCCGCC